UACAGAGGUGGCGAGCGUUGUUCGGAUUUACUGGGCGUAAAGCGUGCGUAGGUGGUAUCGUAUGUCGGAUGUGAAAUCCCACGGCUCAACCGUGGAACUGCAUCCGAAACUGCGGAACUAGAGUACAGGAGGGGAGAGCGGAAUUCUUGGUUUAGCGGUGAAAUGCGUUGAUAUCAAGAAGAACACCGGUGGCGAAGGCGGCUCUCUGGAAUGUUACUGACACUGAGGCACGAAAGUUGGGGGAGCGAACAGG
rnacentral:rRNA from 1 species